rnacentral:rRNA from 1 species
GACGAACGCUGGCGGCGUGCUUAACACAUGCAAGUCGAACGGAAAGGCCCUGCUUUUGUGGGGUGCUCGAGUGGCGAACGGGUGAGUAACACGUGAGUAACCUGCCCUUGACUUUGGGAUAACUUCAGGAAACUGGGGCUAAUACCGGAUCGGAGCUCCUGCUGCAUGGUGGGGGUUGGAACGUUGCGGCGGUUGGGGAUGGACUCGCGGCUUAUCAGCUUGUUGGUGGGGUAGUGGCUUACCAAGGCUUUGACGGGUAGCCGGCCUGAGAGGGUGACCGGCGACAUUGGGACUGAGAUACGGACCAGACUCCUACGGGAGGCAGCAGUGGGGAAUAUUGCACAAUGGGCGGAAGCCUGAGGAAGCAACGCCGCGUGCGGGAUGACGGCCUUCGGGUUGUAAACCGCUUUCGCCUGUGACGAAGCGGGAGUGACGGUAAUGGGUAAAGAAGCACCGGCUAACUACGUG